rnacentral:tmRNA from 1 species
GGGGUUGUACUGGUUUCGACGGGGGUUUUGAAAUUGAGGAAGCCAUCCGUGGCCCCGCACCACGUAAAAAGUGGGAAUUAAAUAUAAACGCAGACGAAAAUUACGCGUUCGCUGCCUAAACGGCAGCUGUCGGCCUUAGGGCUUCCGUCCCUUAAGUAACCGGCAUCGACCUGACGGAGAACUUUGCGGCUUAAGCUUUGCGGCCGUAAAAGAUUUAUGAAGCUACCGGGAUCCUAAGCCUGCUUACCGGCGUGGGACUCCGGGAAUCUCAAAUGAUAAGCUGUGAUGGGAGAUGCUUCAAUGGAUGGGCUUUCGGACAGGGGUUCGAUUCCCCUCAGCUCCACUU